CACGUAGGGCGCAAGCGUUGUCCGGAAUUAUUGGGCGUAAAGAGCUCGUAGGCGGUCUGUUGCGUCCGCUGUGAAAACUCGGGGCUUAACCCCGAGCCUGCAGUGGAUACGGGCAGACUAGAGGUAGGUAGGGGAGAAUGGAAUUCCCGGUGUAGCGGUGAAAUGCGCAGAUAUCGGGAGGAACACCGGUGGCGAAGGCGACCAUCUGGACGACAACUGACGCUGAGGCGCGAAAGCGUGGGGAGCAAACAGG
rnacentral:rRNA from 1 species